rnacentral:sRNA from 1 species
GAAAGAAAUGUCGGGGUUUCAUCAGAGCUAGGGAGCGACAGUCGGGAACAGCGAGUCUGCUGAAGCCGGCUGUUGUGUGAGGCUUCCGUGCCCCGUUCUCCUGGAGCAGGCAAGACCUGGAGUGAGGUGCUUGGGUGCGCUCGAGAGAGCUUCCCCCUGCUCCACCUGUCCCGCGGUGCGC